GAGUGAACAGGCAACCUACAGAAUGGGAGAAACUUUUUGCAAUCUAUCCAUCUGACAAAGGGCUAAUAUCCAGAAUCUACAAGGAACUUAAAUUUACAAGAAAAAAAUCCCAUUAAAAGUGGGCAAAGGAUAUGAACAGACACUUCUCAAAAGAAGACAUUUAGGUGGCCAACAAAGAUAUGAAAAAAAGCUCAUCAUCAGUGGUCAUUAGAGAAAUGCAAAUCAAAAACACAAUGAGAUACCAUGUCACAUCAGUUAGAAUGGCGAUCAUUAAAAAGUGAGGAAACAACAGAUGCUGGAGAGGAUGUGGAGAAAUAGGAAUGCUUUUACACUGUUAGUGGGAGUGUAAAUUUGUUCAACCAUUGUGGAAGACAGUGUGGCGAUUCCUCAAGGAUCUAGAAAUAGAAAUACCAUUUGACCCAGCAAUCCCGUUACUGGGUAUAUACCUAAAGGAUUAUAAAUAAUUUUACUAUAAAGACACAUGCACACGUAUGUUUAUUGGAGCACUAUUCACAAUAGGAAACACUUGGAACCAACCAAAAUGCCCAUCAAUGUUAGACUGGAUAAAGAAACGGGCACAAACACACCAUGGAAUACUAUGCAGCCAUAAAAAAGGAUGCGUUCAUGUCCUUUGCAGGGACAGGGAUGAAGCCGGAAACCAUUAUUCUCAGCAAACUAACAGGAACAGAAAACCAAACACCACAUGUUGUCACUCGUAAGUGGGAGUUGAACAAUGAGAACAUAUGGACACAGGGAGGGGAACAUCAACAAUGGGGCCUGUCGGCGGGGUAGGGGGCAAGGGGAAGGACAACAUUAGAAGAAAUAGCUAAUGUAGAUGACAGGUUGAUGGGUGCAGCAAACCACCAUGGCACAUGUAUACCUAUGUAACAAACCUGCAUGUUCUGCACAUGUAUUGCAGAACUUGAAGUAUUAAAAAAAAAAAACAGCAGUUGCUUAAUGAAGAUUGUCUAUCAGUUAUUAACACAGACCUUUUUGGGGAUGAUUGCUAACUUUCAGGACCAAAGGCCACUAGGUGAUGCACUCAAAUGACUACUUAAUGCAAUCAAGUGGUUGAAAGAUGCAUUUCUGGAGUCCAUACUGAUGUAGACCAGUUUGGCGUUGAGACUUUGGCUGUAUUUUUGGCUAGUUUCCAUUCACAAAAUAUACCUAGCUGUUUACAAGGGGACUCAGUGACAGUACAAGAAUCUAAGUGUAAAUUCAGUGUUAAACAGAAAAAUGACUCAAGCCAGUGAAACACAUUUUUGUGUAUGAUUAGUAAUUUAUACUCAGCUUGGUCAUUGGCCUAAAUUUUGUAAUUCUUACUGAAAAGAAACUGUAUUAGUCUGUUUUGCAUUGCAAUGAAGGAAUACCUGGGACUGGUUACCUUAUAAAGAAAACGUUUAUUUGACUUGCAGUUCUGCAGGCUGUAAAAACAUGGCACCAGCAUCUGCUCAGCUUCUGGUGAGGUCUCAGGGAGCUUUUACUCAUGGCAGAAGGCACGGGGGGAGAAGGCAUGUCACACAGAGAAGGAGCGAGAAAGAGAGGAGGUGGUGGUGCCAAGUUCCUUUUAACAACCAGCUCUUGCAGGAAUAAACACAGCAGGAACUCAUUACCACUGGGGAAGACAUCUAUCUGGUUUUGUUGGCAGAUUUAAGGACUAACACUAGACUAAAUAUUACACAAAUAUUCUAUUCAAAUGACUUAAAAGUGCUACCCUUUUACUAAAAAUUUUAUCGUACUAAACAUCUUUGAAAUGUGUGUCCCAUAGGAAAUGUGUUUUUUUGAUAACCGUACUUCUAAAAAAAUUCCCACUUUGAGCACUGUCAGAAAACAGAGCAAAUUUAAAGAAAAUUUUGAGAAUAUAAAAUUACAUAAACAUUUCAUUUUACUUUUCCUUUAUCUUAAUCAUAUACCUUUAAAUAAAAAAGCUAUGAAAGACCUAAAUAAAAUUUGAGAAAUCAGAAUAGACAAACAUCAUUAAUGCCCAAAACAUAAUUUAUUUAUUAGAGAUGGGGUCUUGCUAUGUUGCCCAGGCUGGAUUCAAA
rnacentral:lncRNA from 10 species